rnacentral:rRNA from 1 species
GACGAACGCUGGCGGCGUGCCUAAUACAUGCAAGUAGAACGCUGAAGAGAGGAGCUUGCUCUUCUUGGAUGAGUUGCGAACGGGUGAGUAACGCGUAGGUAACCUGCCUUGUAGCGGGGGAUAACUAUUGGAAACGAUAGCUAAUACCGCAUAACAAUGGAUGACACAUUUCAUUUAUUUGAAAGGGGCAAUUUCUCCAUUAAAAGAUGGACCUGCGCUGUAUUAGCUAGUAGGUGAGGUAAUGGCUCACCUAGGCGACGAUACAUAGCCGACCUGAGAGGGUGGUCGGCCACACUGGGACUGAGACACGGCCCAGACUCCUACGGGAGGCAGCAGUAGGGAAUCUUCGGCAAUGGGGGCAACCCUGACCGAGCAACGCCGCGUGAGUGAAGAAGGUUUUCGGAUCGUAAAGCUCUGUUGUAAGUCAAGAACGGGUGUGAGAGUGGAAAGUUCACACUGUGACGGUAGCUUACCAGAAAGGGACGGCUAACUACGUG